GCCAUUCUCAGUUCGGAUUGUAGGCUGAAACUCGCCUACAUGAAGCUGGAGUUACUAGUAAUCGCAGAUCAGAAUGCUGCGGUGAAUGCGUUCCCGGGUCUUGUACACACCGCCCGUCACACCACGGAAGUUGGGGGCGCCCGAAGCCACUUAGCUAACCCAUUUGGGAAGCGAGUGUCGAAGGUGAAAUCAAUAACUGGGGUGAAGUCGUAACAAGGUAUC
rnacentral:rRNA from 1 species